rnacentral:rRNA from 1 species
AUUGAACGCUGGCGGCAGGCCUAACACAUGCAAGUCGAACGAGUGGCGGACGGGUGAGUAAUGUCUGGGAAACUGCCUGAUGGAGGGGGCUAACUACUGGAAACGGUAGCUAAUACAGCAUACCAUCGGAUGUGCCCAGAGGGGAUUAGCUAGUAGGUGGGGAACAGGCUCACCUAGGCGACGAUCCCUAGCUGGUCUGAGCGGAUGACCAUCCAAACUGGAACGGAGACAAGGGCCAGGCUCGUACGGGAGGCAGCAGUGGGGAAUAUUGCACAAUGGGCGAAAGCCUGAUGCAGCCAUGCAGAGUGUAUGAAGAAGUCCUUCGGUUUGUAAAGUACUUGCAGCGGGGAGGCGGUACCCGCAGAAGAAGCACCGGCUAACUCCGUGCCAGCAGCGGCGGUAAUUC